AUUGAACGCUGGCGGCAGGCUUAACACAUGCAAGUCGAGCGGAGUGAUGGUGCUUGCACUAUCACUUAGCGGCGGACGGGUGAGUAAUGCUUAGGAAUCUGCCAUUUAGUGGGGGACAACAUUCCGAAAGGAAUGCUAAUACCGCAUACGUCCUACGAGAGAAAGCAGGGGAUCUUCGGACCUUGCGCUAAAGGAGGAGCCUAAGUCGGAUGAGCUAGUUGGUGGGGUAAAGGCCUACCAAGGCGACGAUCUGUAGCGGGUCUGAGAGGAUGAUCCGCCACACUGGGACUGAGACACGGCCCAGACUCCUACGGGAGGCAGCAGUGGGGAAUAUUGGACAAUGGGCGGAAGCCUGAUCCAGCCAUGCCGCGUGUGUGAAGAAGGCCUUUUGGUUGUAAAGCACUUUAAGCGAGGAGGAGGCUACUAGUACUAAUACUACUGGAUAGUGGACGUUACUCGCAGAAUAAGCACCGGCUAACUCUGUGCCAGCCGCCGCAGUAAUAC
rnacentral:rRNA from 1 species